rnacentral:RNase_P_RNA from 1 species
UGGAGCGGGUGCGUGAUCGCUCCGGUUUUUCCGGAGAGGAAAGUCCGAACUCUACAGGGCAGGGUGGUUCGUAACGCGAACGCCGGGCGACCGGGGGAAAGUGCCACAGAAAACAGACCGCCUGCAACCGCAGGUAAGGGUGAAAAGGCGAGGUAAGAGCUCACCGCUUCCAUGGUGACAUGGAAGGCACGGUAAACCCCACCCAGAGCAAGACCAAAUAGGGAGAUGUUUGAGGGCGGCCCGUCCGAAAUCUCCGGGUAGGUUGCAAGAGGUGUUGGGCGACCAACAUCCCAGUGAAAUGAUCACGACCCCUUACGGGGAACAGAAUUCGGCUUAUAGCCCGCUCCAUUUU